CCGUACACAAAAGCGCAUGUGCUGUGAGCUCGAUGAGUAGGGCGGGACACGUGGUAUCCUGUCUGAAUAUGGGGGGACCAUCCUCCAAGGCUAAAUACUCCUGACUGACCGAUAGUGAACCAGUACCGUGAGGGAAAGGCGAAAAGAACCCCGGCGAGGGGAGUGAAAAAGAACCUGAAACCGUGUACGUACAAGCAGUGGGAGCACAGGUUUACCUGUGUGACUGCGUACCUUUUGUAUAAUGGGUCAGCGACUUAUAUUCUGUAGCAAGGUUAACCGUAUAGGGGAGCCGGAGGGAAACCGAGUCUUAAUUGGGCGUUAAGUUGCAGGGUAUAGACCCGAAACCCGGUGAUCUAGCCAUGGGCAGGUUGAAGGUUGGGUAACACUAACUGGAGGACCGAACCGACUAAUGUUGAAAAAUUAGCGGAUGACCUGUGGCUGGGGGUGAAAGGCCAAUCAAACCGGGAGAUAGCUGGUUCUCCCCGAAAGCUAUUUAGGUAGCGCCUCGUGAAUUCAUCUCCGGGGGUAGAGCACUGUUUCGGCUAGGGGGCCAUCCCGGCUUACCAACCCGAUGCAAACUGCGAAUACCGGAGAAUGUUAUCACGGGAGACACACGGCGGGUGCUAACGUCCGUCGUGAAGAGGGAAACAACCCAGACCGCCAGCUAAGGUCCCAAAGUCAUGGUUAAGUGGGAAACGAUGUGGGAAGGCCCAGACAGCCAGGAUGUUGGCUUAGAAGCAGCCAUCAUUUAAAGAAAGCGUAAUAGCUCACUGGUCGAGUCGGCCUGCGCGGAAGAUGUAACGGGGCUAAACCAUGCACCGAAGCUGCGGCAGCGAACGUAUCACCCAAGACAACUUUACGGAGUUGACGAUUGACGGAGCGAAGCGACGUCAAAGCGUUCAUUAAAGUCGAGUUGGCUUAGGGAUACGUUCGUUGGGUAGGGGAGCGUUCUGUAAGCCUGUGAAGGUGUGUCGUGAGGCAUGCUGGAGGUAUCAGAAGUGCGAAUGCUGACAUAAGUAACGAUAAAGCGGGUGAAAAGCCCGCUCGCCGGAAGACCAAGGGUUCCUGUCCAACGUUAAUCGGGGCAGGGUGAGUCGACCCCUAAGGCGAGGCCGAAAGGCGUAGUCGAUGGGAAACGGGUUAAUAUUCCCGUACUUGGUGUUACUGCGAAGGGGGGACGGAGAAGGCUAUGUUGGCCGGGCGACGGUUGUCCCGGUUUAAGCGUGUAGGUGUGUGUUCCAGGUAAAUCCGGUUCACUUUAACACUGAGGCGUGACG
rnacentral:rRNA from 1 species